GGAAGGCUCCACCCCCUCGUAUUACUGUCAAAGAUGGACGCGCGGCAUGAACAGAUCAAAGAGACAGACGGGCCACAACUGGUCAUUUCAGCGGUAUUUACAUAUUGUCCCCUGGUAGACUGGUUGAUCUGCUACACUCAUAGGAUCGCAAAAUGUACUACGAAAUAUAGGGGACAAAAGCUUUUCAUAUUGUGGGCAACUUUUCACAUCGUUCAAUCAACCAGCCAGGUACAUGUACUCCCAGAUAUUUCAUGUCGUUUAGCCAAUAUGUAAAGAAUUUUAUGAACUCUAUCAGUGCUGCGACUUUAUAAACACAUCAACAGGGAUUGUGUUUCGGCAAUGUUUUCAGUAAACAUGACUUUACAAGAGUGCAGAGUAGAGAGUAUGGUUCGGCUUCAAUGAACACAUCUAGCAGGAAGUCAUCCUUUGUGCGUAUUACAGUGACCCUGGCACACAAAGGUAUCUACCCCGGUUAAAUCCCGUGGAGAAACAAUGGGUUAAGGGAAAGGUGGGUUGUAUACCUGGAGGCACCUGGGGAUAGUAUAACACACACUCCCCACACCUGCCUUCUCAGGUAUGCUGUUGGUAAUUACCUGUUUUGUUGGGCUUAAGACAUAGUCUGGUCCCUGUCACUGCUACCCCUGACAAUACACAGAAGGUGUGACUAUACGAGUACGAACACAGAACAACAUAGCUGAGAUUAGUCACAUUACAUGCCUAGCCAGGCACAACCAAAGUCACCUCAAUCCUUCCUCACUCUCUUUCACAUGGCUUCCAGGUUUCCAGAGCUGAGUAUAGACUCAUGGAGGACAGCAAUGUUUGAUUGUCUCCAAUCUAAGACUACAGCAGCCACAGAACAAUAGAAAACUAAGGGAAUCUACCAAAGGACAAUGGAAUUCACAAGAGGAGCUCAGGUGGAAGGAAAUUCAUUCUGCAAGUGGUGCGUGUCGUGCAUGGCCGGCGGCUCCUGCCGAGAGUGUGUCUGGAAGUAAACCACGCACGCCCUGGCCAAUGUCACCUCAAAGUGGACUGGAUCCAGUUUUAUAUCAUUGCCUUUUGUCGCCGUGCGGAGAAAAAGUCCACACCCCGCUGCUGAACCCUGCAGAAGUUUUUCUUCACGACACCCGCGCGGGAGGGUCCCGACUUCUCCCGGGAUGAACUCGCUCGCCGCUGCGCGGUCCAAGUGCUCCCGCACCCGGUCAGCCACCCUUUCAGUCGGACUAUCCUCACAAGAACCUACCGGGCAAUAAAUCUAAACGCGAAGGUUCUGGAUCGCGUGAUCCCAGCCACAUUGGCUUCGGUACAAUCAAGUCAGCCGCUUUCCCCCGGCUUUCCCGUGUGCGUGACUUGCAAGUGGACAACAAAGCCACAAUCAACACACAAGCCAUCAACUUCCCACCUUCGUCCUCUCAUACCUGCAACAUCAAAGGACGCCGCCUCCGUGUCGGUAUCACUCUCCCUCACCUGACAUUAGGUGGGUGGAUGUGGCGUCAAUGCGUCUUGAUCUUCGUGUCGUCCAAUAUUUCAGCAUUAUUAAUUGAUAAGGUAGUUUAGAAAGUAGGGCUAGGCACAGCGGGAAGGGG